rnacentral:rRNA from 1 species
UACGUAGGAUGCAAGCGUUGUCCGGAUUUAUUGGGAUUAAAGGGUGCGUAGGCGGCGUAUUAAGUUAGUGGUGAAAACGUUAGGCUUAACCGGAUACCCGCCAUUGAUACUGAUAGACUUGAGUGCGACAGAGGGUGUUGGAAUGUGUGGUGUAGCGGUGAAAUGCUUAGAUAUCACGCAGAACACCAAUUGCGAAGGCAGAUGCCUAUGUCGUAACUGACGCUGAGGCACGAAAGCGUGGGGAGCAAACAGG